AGAACCAAGAAGUGGUCAGUCUUGUCUAUUAAAAUAAGCUGGGAGAGGAAACCGUGUCUCAUUAACCUCCUCCGCACAUUCACUGGGUGACAGGAGAACUUCUGGAGAUGGUUCGAGCCCACAGCUCCAUGCAGAGAAAUGGGCAAGUGGAAGUGCAUCACGUGUAACAUCUGGGAACGGCGCGGAGGCAGCCAGGCAGCCGUUGCAGGGGUUUGGCACCUCGUGCGGGAAUGAGCACACGCAGGUUGGAUUUAUAGCUAGCGGGACCACACGAAGUCUCCUUUGUGUGCUGUGGGAAUACUCAGAGGAGGACAUUAAAGUUUAUCACUGAAGUUCAGGUGCCAGGUAAGCAAACAGUUUCUCAGGCCAAACCCAAUCAUUUAAGGCAGUUAUUCCAAACACAAAAUCAACCCGAAAGUAUUAAAUAACUUUUUAGCCUGGAUCCUCCGCCAGGAGGGGAACAUUUCCUGACAUUGGAUGGCAGCCUAGAA